CCUACGGUGGGCUGCAGUGGGGAAUAUUGGACAAUGGGCGAAAGCCUGAUCCAGCCAUGCCGCGUGUGUGAAGAAGGCCUUCGGGUUGUAAAGCACUUUCAGUGGGGAAGAAAGCCUUGGGGCUAAUACCCUCGAGGAAGGACAUCACCCACAGAAGAAGCACCGGCUAACUCCGUGCCAGCAGCCGCGGUAAUACGGAGGGUGCGAGCGUUAAUCGGAAUUACUGGGCGUAAAGCGCGCGUAGGCGGUCUGAUAAGCCGGUUGUGAAAGCCCCGGGCUCAACCUGGGAACGGCAUCCGGAACUGUCAGGCUAGAGUGCAGGAGAGGAAGGUAGAAUUCCCGGUGUAGCGGUGAAAUGCGUAGAGAUCGGGAGGAAUACCAGUGGCGAAGGCGGCCUUCUGGACUGACACUGACGCUGAGGUGCGAAAGCGUGGGUAGCAAACAGGAUUAGAUACCCUGGUAGUC
rnacentral:rRNA from 1 species